CGACUAUCUCUUCCUCCCUGAAAAGGAAGAAAGAGGAGUUAGGACGAGAGCGCCGCGGAGUCCUCCCCCACCAGCAUCCGUCUGCUGUGGUCCCAGGUGGGUGCUGAGCCCCUGGGUGUCUCUCUCAUCUGCUAACAGAAAUGGCACCACGGAGAGUUAGUCUUUUCCUUCCUUUUCUCCCGACCUCCCUCAGCAAAUGCUAAUUGAAUUUUCAGUUCUGUGAGAAAGAGUCUCUGGAAUCUGAUUCCCAGGGCCCAGGGAGUGGUGCCCUGCGUCACCACCCUUCUGCGUCACAGCGCUGCUCUUCCGUGGGUGAAAGUGUAACCGCUCAUUGCUUUGCUUUGAAGGAGCACUUCGUCUCUUCAGCCAGAGAUUCCAGAGCGGCUGGGGGGAACUGCCAACCACAACAGGAGCAAGUUCUUUUUCGGAGGGACCCUAGCACACCCCUUGCUGCACACACCAGAAAAGAGCAAAGCCACAUGUCCAUCCCUGGGGACGUCCCUCCUGUGUGCCAUCUCAUCUGCCACACCACACAAAUCAAAUGCACAGAGAGCUUUGUCUGCAAACUUUGAAGGGGUCUUAAAGUCAUGCAUUUACAUGUUUGGGGGACAGAUAAUUUCGAUGCUUAAGAAAGAGUUGGCAGCUAACUGAAAUGGUGCACAGGUGUGCCGUGGCCCACGGUGUGGAGGUAGCCAGGCGUGGGCAUCCCUCUAGAAGGAGGCAUGCGUUGGUCACACAGAACGUCAUUUAGAUUGACAAAGCAGAACUGCACUUUUUCUGCAUUGAAAUUUUUAUUCAAAUUUUAGUCUCUCUCCUUGGGUUUCCCCUUUUAUGAAAUGAUCAAUUUUGGUGAAGAGUCCCCAGAAAGCAAGACAGAAAAGAAAUAUGCUCUUCACCGUGGCUGAUCAGCAAUGAACUAACGCUGUCCUCAUCUAAUUCUGUGUCUUCCACACUGCCCAGUAAAUGCAUAACCAGAGUGCGGACGCCAAGAAUCCUUACAAAGAAUGCAACUAACAGACCAAGCCCAGGAGCCAAAGCUCAGCCAGCCCGAGCGAGCCAGGAUUAGAGCCUGCAUGGAUGCAGCAGUCACGCUUCUCUCUAUUAUGUGUCUUGCAACUUGGAGUCGCAUGAUCUAAGCAUCUGAUCUGCCCUGGGCUCAGGUCAGGAUAAGACUGAACUCACAAGGUAAGGGUUAGACUGACCUCCUCUCUCAGGACAGGAAAAGAACAGAACCUACUUUUGAUACUGUUGCCUCCACUUUGACGCCUCACAACUCCACAGCAACACUACAGGUGGGAAAACGUUCACAUGUAUGUUCGCGGAAGUUAAUACACAUGGAAACAGGAGGCUCCUAUGAUGUUCCGAUGUGGUUUCCGAGUGAUGGGGUGACCUGCAUAGUUUUUUCUACCCAGUUCCUACCGACAAUGCUAGACUUCCAGAUUUGAGUCUUUUCCUCUCACUACUGAUUUCCAACAGCGCCAGAAAGAACAGAAAGAUGGUAAAAUGACAUUAAAUGCUAUGAAGUUCCUGUCCUCUCCACCUGCCUGCCUCUAAACCCCUCAUUUCUGGGGGAGCUGUGAUUUAUUAAUCUAUUGGAACUGCUCCAAGUCAACUCAUUCAACCAUACGGCCAUAGUAGGCCAGUUAUGAACUUUUUAUGCAGUAAAAUUUAAUUACAACCAUAUGAUUUGCAAUUUGCUUUGAUACAUUGAUGCUUCCCUUGAACUCUACGGAAAUUAAAUAAUUUUUUAAAGCUGCUUACAAAAAAAUUCAGGGAAAAUACUGAACUUAUUUAAGAAAAUACAUGCGUACAGUACAUUGGUUAUAUUUGCACACAGUAAACAUGCAGAUCUAAAUGCAGCUUUCUGUUCCUCAGGGUGGUCUUGGUAAGCUCUGGCCUUGCAAGCAUUUCGAGUGACUGGUUGUAAGCCUUGCAUAUAUUGCAAGGAAAUAUUUGCUAAAUGGGGCCCCUCACUCAUCUGGGCCAUCCCAUUAAUUCUGAGCCAGCACUCAACUCUCUCAGUGUGUCUAACAGUCCUUAAGCUGGCAGUGGAGGAAUUAGUUAUCCAGAUGGGAUGAAUCUGUGUUUCCCAAGUAAGCACGGUGUCUGCAAAAUCAUCACAACUGGCAACACCUAAUUCACCCUUGGACAUUCUGACUCAGUGAGCCUGUGGCAGAGCCCAGACAGACAGGGGUCUGGGCGUGCAUCCCAGGCGAUUCAGAGGCAGGUGUGGUACUGGCCAGGUGGGGAGGGGCCGUCCUGACUGCAGUGCUGGGUUCAGACACUGCUCCCCGGGGAGCCUCAUCUCUGCCCUCUUGUGGCCACACCCCAGAACUGCGGCAGUGUACAGCAUGAUGGCCCUGAGACUUGAAUAUUUGGAGAAUUUAUUUUCUUACUCAGAAUUUACGUUGAGGAGUGAAUCCUGCUUACCACUUUAGCUGACAUAAAGCAAGUAAGCAGCUCAGUUACUCACUGCUCACUUCAUAUAUUAAAAGCUUUUCCUAAGACCGGCUAUCCUUAAGAUCUUGGGCUGUGCCAUGAAUUGCCUGUUGUCCACAGAACCUCGCAGAACUUUCCAGAAUUGAGGCUCAUGGCAGAGGUUCUGCACUCACCGAGGACGCGGGGGGACCGUGUCUGUGCCCAUGUGGAUCCCAGCGGGCUGGGCAGAGCACACUGCACAUCCAGACUCAAUAAGUACAUGGAGUCAAAGGUGAGGUCACUGAAUCAAUGAGUAUGUUACACACCAAGAAAGACUGCUCCUCUCUGCACCCCGGGGAGGCCCCCCAGAGGCCUGGUCUCCUCCAAGACGAAAAUGCAAACGCAGGUGCCUCGGGGGGACUCCCAGGCCGUCUGGCUUUGUGGUUCUCUCCCGGCCCUGCCUGAGCUUCGUGUGCCUCCGCUUUUGCUUCACGAGAGCAGCUGUCUAAGAGCUCUGGUUUUCUGGGUGACGUUUAACAAUAAUAAAGGUGACUGUUUAUCUAAGGAAUCCGAGCCCCGCACCUGCCAGCGCGUUUUGUGUUUGUCACUACCUUUUACUUUCACAGCGAGUUUGUGAGCUGAGUGGAAGGGUUACCUCCAUUUUACAGAUGAGAAAACCGAGGCUCAGAGACACGGCUCACAAACAACGGGCCUGGCAUUUGUCCUGGGUCUGGUUCCAGGUCCUCAUGAGCCAACGGGCCACUCCCCACUCCCUGAGGUCUCCUGGGCAUCCCCUCCCGUGGCUCCAGGGAUCUCCCCCAACACCCACGUCUGCUUGGUUCUUGCUUGCUCUCUGAGGGCUCCAACCCCUGAGCAUGGGCAAAUUGGAUUCCAGCUGGGCCCUGCCCCAGAGUCAAGGUCAGCUGCCUGCUCCAGGGCCCCUGAACCAGCCCAGGCGCAGCCCUUCCUCAGGUGCCUCCGGCCCCACAUGCAUCUCGGAGGAAACCCGCGCGUAAAUGCGAGUGGGCAAUGCCACCUGAGCCUCUGCACGCCCACUGGGCCAGAGCACACCCAGGGUACAGUGCGGCUGAGUCAGAGGCGGCAGCCACCCUUGUGCUCAGCUCAGUUGGGGAGUCUGGGACCCUUUAGUCCCCGCUCAGUGGAGCUGAGCAGAGGGUACCUUACCAGCUUAAAAAUUCUGGAAAGCGUGCCCUGGGCAUCGACUCCCUUGAAUCCCUUGUGAGCCGAUUUAUAGUCGGACGCUCUGCCUCCGUAGCCAAAUCCUGGUUUCUGCCCUUCGGCCCCCUGCAAGAAAAGACCACAGAGCUCAGCCUCCACCCGCAGUGCUAGGCAGGCUGCUCGAGCCACUGGGAGCUGCCACCAGGGCCCCGGGGAAGGGCCCAGGCCCCGGACUGGACUGGUGAGUGGUUCAGGAGCCACGGGCCAGCACCGCGCUGAGGGGGUGGGGGCGGGAGAGGCUGCUCCCCCAGAUCUACCGGGGUGUUGGCCGCAGAGAGAGGAGCGCUCUGGUUUGGGCGGAGGCUCUCUCAUGAGAUAAUGCGGCCCAAACACACAUAUUUUAAGGAUCUAAAUCAUUUAGGGAACAGUUGCUUACCUUCACGCUGUGGGGUGUUCAAGAGAAGAUUAGCAAACAUCAAGCAAAUCAAGGUAAGGAGGCUCCUGCCUACACGUGUUUGGAGGACUUGGACCCUGGGGGGCUGUGCGGUGUGUAGGUACCAGUCCCUGGAGGCCCUGGCCCGCGCCCUUUCCUGGGGGCUCCUUUUGCUGAUUGAUUUGCACAGAUUGGAUUCUGGUCACAUGGGCUCUGUGGUUCUAGGAUCUGUCUGGGAAAUCGAGAGUCCUUGGCCUUAGUGAAAUGUCGAGCCUCAUAUCUUUUAUAAGGUUUUGAGACAAAAUCCUGAGCUCUCUCCCAGGCGUGAGCAGGAAUCAAGUCUCCUUGGCCAUAGCUCGGACUGGGAGCAAGGCCCUUGCCAGGAGCCCGGGGCUGCUGAACUGGACAGAGGGAGGAGGCAGGCCUGGCUGGCACGGGGGGCAGCCGCGUCCUGGCAGCAGCGGGACAGCGUCUCCUCCCAUUCCCCCAGCACCUUUCUGGCUCCUCCAGCUGUGUGGCCUUGGGCAAGGGCAGGAACCUCUCUGAGCUUCAGUUUCCUCAUCUACACAAUGGGGUUGUGCAAGAACAUGCUCCUCAGUGGAGGCUGCCAACUCUGGGCUUUGGUGCCAGCUGUCGUUAUGGAAGUGGGAACUCCACUGCAAACAUGGGGAGGAACGGAAGGAGCUCGCUGUGGAGUCUGAACGCGGUGGACAUUAACACCCGGGGGCGAAGUGUCCUCCCACGGUGGGUGGGUGCACUGUCUGUGGGAAGGCCGACCGCGCUGUUAGCUUUUCAGGGUGGCAUCUUGGUUGGUCUCGUGAAUCUCUACUUAACGGACAGGGUCCAGACUGCACUUCAUGUUUUGCCAACAAGAAAUGGGAGACUCUCCUGGUGCCCUCUCCUGAAGACUUGUGGAGACCAAACCAAACUGUCUCCCCUCCAUCAGCCUGCAGCCUUUUUUCCAUUUCAUUAAAGUGUUUUAGGACAGGGAGGACCUUGAGCAACCUAGCCCAUCUCUUAUUUAGAGGUGAGGAAGAUGACGCCAGAGGGCUCAAGGCUUCCAGAGCACCUGGCUGCACCCACAGCCUCUGCUGGGCGCUUCCCACCCUACAUGCUACUUGUACAGUUUUCUUUUCAUUCAACCUGUGCUUGGGAGCGAGCACGGCCACUCAGAGCCAGGCAGCUGCUUUUGUGUGAACAGUUGAUUCAGGGGCUAUCCAGUGAGGUGAGGGACAGGGGAUGUGUGGCAAGAAGGUCUAAGCACCAUGCACGAGGGGACAGCCAGCCUCGCCCUUGCGUCCCAGAGGUUUCCAGGUUUGCGCUCACUCCCUGAUGGCAGAGGGUGCGGGAGGCCAGGCUGUCAGCUCCACGUGGCAGAGAGCCGCUUCCCCUGCAAGCGCUACAUCAUUCUGUCCUAGUCUAUUGCUUGUCUCCAAAAAUAGAGUUUUCGAGAACUAAAUCCGGGGAUUGACUUUCAGAUUAAUAAUCUGCUUGGCCUUUCCUCCUUUCAAAUCCUCAGUCAUGUUUAUCUUUGGGCAACCUAGAAUGUACCGGGAAACACACAACACAGUUUAGAAAGAGAAAGUGGGGCUCUCCGGAACUCCAGACAAGGAGAGAGUCCUGCGGCUCUGGGAAACAGACAAGCAGACAACAUGCAGAGGAGGGUUUUG